UACGUAGGGGCCGAGCGUUUGUCCGGAGUUAUUGGGCGUAAAGCGCGCGCAGGCGGCCUCGCGCGCCCGACGUGAAAGCCCCCGGCUUAACCGGGGAGGGUCGUUGGGGACGGCGGGGCUUGAGGGCGGGAGAGGGUGGUGGAAUUCCCGGUGGUAGUGGUGAAAUGCGUAGAGAUCGGGAGGAACACCCGGUGGCGAAGGCGGCCACCUGGGCCGGACCCUGGACGCUGAGGCGCGAAGGCGUGGGGAGCGAACGGG
rnacentral:rRNA from 1 species